rnacentral:rRNA from 1 species
ACGGAGGGAGCUAGCGUUGUUCGGAAUUACUGGGCGUAAAGCGCACGUAGGCGGCUAUUCAAGUCAGAGGUGAAAGCCCGGGGCUCAACCCCGGAACUGCCUUUGAAACUAGAUAGCUUGAAUCCAGGAGAGGUGAGUGGAAUUCCGAGUGUAGAGGUGAAAUUCGUAGAUAUUCGGAAGAACACCAGUGGCGAAGGCGGCUCACUGGACUGGUAUUGACGCUGAGGUGCGAAAGCGUGGGGAGCAAACAGGA